GACAUUACUACGCUUGACACGUAGGAUCUCUUGACAUGCACGAAUCUGUUGACAUUGACAAAUUGUGUGCCACUUUGAGGUAAAGUGGACAUUUCCUUCUCAUCGAGGAUUUAUUUGUAUAUUUUCAUAAAAUGAGAAAAAUCAUCGGUGGAAAAUUCAGUCAUAUAGACGUUUUAUUUGGGUGAAAAUGGAACAUUUUUCUAACAUUUUCUUUUUAUCUGUGCUUAUAUUUCUUGUAAAAUGUAAAGUUCACGUGAAUUCUACAGAUAAAUACGAAACAUCUAUCAAAGAAUGUUCAGAAGACCUAAAUUUAGACCCUGGAUUUGUAAUAAGUUAUCCUACAAUCUUGUCAAAAACUGAUAUUGACCCUAAACAGCUCAGUUGCAUAAGGAAAUGUGUCUGGGAGAAAAUGGGUUACAUUGACUCAAAAUCAAACUUCAUAGAAGCUGCUUUCUGUGAAGAUCAUCCAGAAAUGCCAGAGAAUCACGUGCAUAUUAUCAAAAAAUGCAUUCGUCCAGCGGGUACAACAAUAUCCACGGAAUGUUCAGCGUUUUAUAAUUUUGACAAAUGUAUUAACGAUGAAAUUAAAAAACUACGCGGUGUACACUAAAAUUUGAUAAAUGAACAAACAUAAAAUUUCCCAAAUAAAUCAUUUACUAAUUUUAGGUUAAGUACGUACUUCCUUUUUAUGUUAAACUUAAUUCUGUGUGAAUCACUGAAUAGUAGAAAUAAUUGACCUUGAUAUUUAUUUGUAAACAUGUUAUUGCACAUAAAAUAAACUAUCCAGCACAAAAUUUUAGUUUUCAUCCAUACAUCCAGCAAUACACACUUUUAAAAAGAAAUUAAAAAAAAAAAACAUGAAAUUUACGUUGAAAUUUUGUAUUUUAACCGCGUUAGUAAUAUUUAUUCAAGGUCAAGAGGAAGAGGCUCCAGAUGACAAACACAAGAGAAUUGUCAACGAAUGUGCACAAGAAUUACACACAGACGCCGCUUACUUCAUACCGGACCCAAAAAUGGUCCCAACGCAUCCAUUCGAUCCCAAAAAGUUCAGCUGUAUGAAGAAAUGUGUAUGGCAAAAGAAAGGCCAUAUAGACGAAAACAUAAACUUCGGGGAAGCUGCAUUCCGAGCUGACACACCCGAAAUGCCCAAUGCUCACAUUAAUAUCAUCAAAAAUUGCUUAAGUCUCACUGCAAAAAACAUCUCAAUUGAUUGUUCAGCAUUCAGAGAAUUCGACACAUGCGUAAAUGCAGAAUUUAAAAAAAUGUACGAAGAAAAUCAACACUCAAGUUAAACCAUCAUAAUCUAUCAAGACAUAACCUAUAAAUGAAUAUUAACUUAGUUUAUUACAACUGGUAUAACUAAUAUAAUCAUAUUCAGUGGUGAA